UACGUAGGGGGCAAGCGUUGUCCGGAUUUAUUGGGCGUAAAGGGCGUGUAGGCGGCCAGAUAGGUCCGUUGUGAAAACUCGAGGCUCAACCUCGAGACGCCGAUGGAAACCAUCUGGCUAGAGUCCGGAAGAGGAGAGUGGAAUUCCCGGUGUAGCGGUGAAAUGCGCAGAUAUCGGGAGGAACACCAAUUGCGAAGGCAGCUCGCUGGGACGUUACUGACGCUGAGACGCGAAAGCGUGGGGAGCAAACGGG
rnacentral:rRNA from 1 species